CCUACGGGUGGCUGCAGUGGGGAAUAUUGGACAAUGGGCGAAAGCCUGAUCCAGCAAUGCCGCGUGAGUGAUGAAGGCCUUAGGGUUGUAAAGCUCUUUUACCCGGGAUGAUAAUGACAGUACCGGGAGAAUAAGCUCCGGCUAACUCCGUGCCAGCAGCCGCGGUAAUACGGAGGGAGCUAGCGUUAUUCGGAAUUACUGGGCGUAAAGCGCACGUAGGCGGCUUUGUAAGUAAGAGGUGAAAGCCCAGAGCUCAACUCUGGAAUUGCCUUUUAGACUGCAUCGCUUGAAUCAUGGAGAGGUCAGUGGAAUUCCGAGUGUAGAGGUGAAAUUCGUAGAUAUUCGGAAGAACACCAGUGGCGAAGGCGGCUGACUGGACAUGUAUUGACGCUGAGGUGCGAAAGCGUGGGGAGCAAACAGGAUUAGAUACCCCGGUAGUC
rnacentral:rRNA from 1 species